rnacentral:rRNA from 1 species
UGGGGAAUAUUGCACAAUGGGCGCAAGCCUGAUGCAGCCAUGCCGCGUGUGUGAAGAAGGCCUUCGGGUUGUAAAGCACUUUCAGCGGGGAGGAAGGGAGUAAAGUUAAUACCUUUGCUCAUUGACGUUACCCGCAGAAGAAGCACCGGCUAACUCCGUGCUAGCAGCCGCGGUAAUACGGAGGGUGCAAGCGUUAAUCGGAAUUACUGGGCGUAAAGCGCACGCAGGCGGUUUGUUAAGUCAGAUGUGAAAUCCCCGGGCUCAACCUGGGAACUGCAUCUGAUACUGGCAAGCUUGAGUCUCGUAGAGGGGGGUAGAAUUCCAGGUGUAGCGGUGAAAUGCGUAGAGAUCUGGAGGAAUACCGGUGGCGAAGGCGGCCCCCUGGACGAAGACUGACGCUCAGGUGCGAAAGCGUGGGGAGCAAACAGG